GAGCGGUAACAGGUGUAGCAAUACAUGCUGACGAGCGGCGAACGGGUGAGUAAUGCUUUGGAAUCUUCCCAGUAGUGGGGAAUAACCAGUCGAAAGAUUGGCUAAUACCGCAUACGUCUGUAAAGGGAAAGCGGGGGCUCGUAAGACCUCGCGCUAUUGGAUGAGCCAAAGUCGGAUUAGCUAGUUGGUGGGGUAAUGGCCUACCAAGGCGACAAUCCGUAGCUGGUCUGAGAGGACGACCAGCCACACCGGAACUGAGACACGGUCCGGACUCCUACGGGAGGCAGCAGUGGGGAAUAUUGGACAAUGGGGGCAACCCUGAUCCAGCGACGCCGCGUGUGUGAAGAAGGCCCGCGGGUUGUAAAGCACUUUUAGUGGGGACAAAAAGCUACGGAUUAACACCCUGUGGUCUUGAUUUAACCCACAGAAAAAGCACCGGCUAACUCUGUG
rnacentral:rRNA from 1 species